rnacentral:rRNA from 1 species
UUGACGGGGCCGCACAAGCGGUGGAGCAUGUGGUUAAUUCGAUGAUACGCGAAGAACCUUACCGGGGUUUGACAUGCAGGUGAUCGCCGUUGAAAGACGGUUUCCUCUUCGGAGGCACCUGCACAGGUGCUGCAUGGCUGUCGUCAGCUCGUGUCGUGAGAUGUUGGGUUAAGUCCCGCAACGAGCGCAGCCCUCGUCGUGUGUUAUACGUGUCACACGAUACUGCCGGUAUCAAGCCGGAGGAAGGUGGGGAUGAUGUCAAGUCAGCAUGGCCUUUAUAUCCUGGGCUACACACACGCUACAAUGGCAGAUACAAUAGGUCGCUAAACCGCGAGGUGGAGCCAAUCCUCAAAGUCUGUCUCAGUUCAGAUUGUAGGCUGCAACUCGCCUGCAUGAAGUCGGAGUUGCUAGUAAACGCAGGUCAGCUAUACUGCGUUGAAUACGUUCCCGGGGUUU